GACGAACGCUGGCGGCGUGCUUAAUACAUGCAAGUCGAGCGACUGGAUUAAGAGCUUGCUCUUAUGAAGUUAGCGGCGGACGGGUGAGUAACACGUGGGUAACCUGCCCAUAAGACUGGGAUAACUCCGGGAAACCGGGGCUACUACCGGAUAACAUUUUGAACCGCCUGGUUCGAAAUUGAAAGGCGGCUUCGGCUGUCACUUAUGGAUGGACCCGCGUCGCAUUAGCUAGUUGGUGAGGUAACGGCUCACCAAGGCAACGAUGCGGAGCCGACCUGAGAGGGUGAUCGGCCACACUGGGACUGAGACACGGCCCAGACUCCUACGGGAGGCAGCAGUAGGGAAUCUUCCGCAAUGGACGAAAGUCUGACGGAGCAACGCCGCGUGAGUGAUGAAGGCUUUCGGGUCGUAAAACUCUGUUGUUAGGGAAGAACAAGUGCUAGUUGAAUAAGCUGGCACCUUGACGGUACCUAACCAGAAAGCCACGGCUAACUACGUGCCAGCAGCCGCCGUAA
rnacentral:rRNA from 1 species